rnacentral:rRNA from 1 species
UACGGGGGGGGCAAGCGUUGUUCGGAAUUACUGGGCGUAAAGGGCUCGUAGGCGGCCAACUAAGUCAGACGUGAAAUCCCUCGGCUUAACCGGGGAACUGCAUCUGAUACUGGAUGGCUUGAGUUUGGGAGAGGGAUGCGGAAUUCCAGGUGUAGCGGUGAAAUGCGUAGAUAUCUGGAGGAACACCGGUGGCGAAGGCGGCAUCCUGGACCAACACUGACGCUGAGGAGCGAAAGCCAGGAGAGCAAACGGG